AGUUUGAUCAUGGCUCAGGAUGAACGCUAGCUACAGGCUUAACACAUGCAAGUCGAGGGGAAACGAUAUUGGAAGCUUGCUUCCGAUGGGCGUCGACCGGCGCACGGGUGAGUAACGCGUAUCCAACCUGCCCAUCACUUGGGGAUAACCUUGCGAAAGUAAGACUAAUACCCAAUGAUAUCUCUAGAAGACAUCUGAAAGAGAUUAAAGAUUUAUCGGUGAUGGAUGGGGAUGCGUCUGAUUAGCUUGUUGGCGGGGUAACGGCCCACCAAGGCGACGAUCAGUAGGGUUCUGAGAGGAAGGUCCCCCACAUUGGAACUGAGACACGGUCCAAACUCCUACGGGAGGCAGCAGUGAGGAAUAUUGGUCAAUGGGCGAGAGCCUGAACCAGCCAAGUAGCGUGCAGGAUGACGGCCUAUGGGUUGUAAACUGCUUUUAUAAGGGAAUAAAGUGAGUCUCGUGAGACUUUUUGCAUGUACCUUAUGAAUAAGGACCGGCUAAUUCCGUG
rnacentral:rRNA from 1 species